rnacentral:rRNA from 1 species
CUAAGAAUAUUCCGCAAUGGGAGAUAUCCUGACGGAGCGACGCCGCGUGAACGAAGAAGGCAGAAAUGUUGUAAAGUUCUUUUAUACGGGAAGAAUAAAGGUAGUAGUGGAAAGACUAUCCGAUGACGGUACCGUAUGAAUAAGCCACGGCUAACUACGUGCCAGCAGCCGCGGUAAUACGUAGGUGGCAAGCGUUGUUCGGAAUUAUUGGGCGUAAAGGGCAUGUAGGCGGUAAGAUAAGUGUGAAUUGAAAGACUGAGGCUUAACCUCACGUUUGGUUUGCAAACUGUCUAACUAGAGUGCAGAAGGGGAAACUGGAAUUCCGCGUGUAGGGGUGAAAUCUGUAGAUAUGCGGAAGAAUACCUGUGGCGAAGGCGAGUUUCUGGUCUGUAACUGACGCUGAAAUGCGAAAGUGUGGGGAGCAAACAGG